GUCCACGCCCUAAACGUUGAAUACUCGACCUUAGCGAUAUACAGUUAGGGUCCAAGCGAAAGCGUUAAGUAUUCCACCUGGGAAGUACGUUCGCAAGAAUGAAACUCAAAGGAAUUGACGGGGCCCGCACAAGCGGAGGAGCAUGUGGUUUAAUUCGAUGAUACGCGAGGAACCUUACCUGGGCUUGAAUGUUAGUGAUCGAUGCAGAAAUGCAUAAUUCCUUCGGGACACAAAACAAGGUGCUGCAUGGCUGUCGU
rnacentral:rRNA from 1 species